rnacentral:rRNA from 1 species
AAUCAACGCUGGCGGCGUGCCUAACACAUGCAAGUCGAACGAGAAAGGGGAGCAAUUCCUGAGUACAGUGGCGACCGGGUGAGUAACACGUGACUACCUACCCUUGAGUGGGGGAUAACCUCGGGAAACCGAGGCUAAUACCGCAUAAUAUCGCAAGAUCAAAGGAGCAAUCCGCUCUUGGAGGGGGUCGCGGCUGAUUAGCUAGUUGGUAGGGUAAUGGCCUACCAAGGCGAAGAUCGGUAUCCGGCCUGAGAGGGCGCACGGACACACUGGAACUGAAACACGGUCCAGACUCCUACGGGAGGGCAGCAGUGGGGAAGUUUUGUCGCAAAUGGGGGAAACCCGUACGACGCAGCAACGCCGCGUGGAGGAUGAAGCUCCUUGGAGUGUAAACUACCUUUCGACCGGGACGAUAAUGACGGUACCGGU